GGCCCCAUCGUCUAGUGGCUAGGACACAUCCUUCUCAAGGAUGGAACAUGAGUCCGAUUCUCAUUGGGGCUA
rnacentral:tRNA from 1 species